CCCCUCUUCUUCUGAAAUUUGACCUCGGAUCAGGUAGGAAUACCCGAGAAGGAA
rnacentral:rRNA from 1 species